UCUUAGCUCUUUUUCCUUUUUUCUCCUUGCUUUGUAACAUAUUGAAGCAAUUUUACAUUUAACUUAAUAGUGUUUUUAGUAACUGUUGAUUUUUCUGGAUGUCCCUACACAUCAGUUUUUGGAUCUUGUAUCUGUGUCCCUGUCAGCCUGUCAUGUGGAUCCUUAACAACUCUACAUAAAUACUUUGGCAUCUACUGCAGCAUUUUUCUUUCAAGGUUGGAUGAUAAUUAGCUCCCUUCCAAAAAAAAAAAAGAUAUUG
rnacentral:misc_RNA from 1 species